GGAGCUGUAGCUCAGUGAUAGAGUAUCUGCCUUGCAUGCAGAAGGUCCCAGGCUCAAAUCCUGGCAUCUCCA